GACGUAGGGCGCGAGCGUUGUCCGGAUUUAUUGGGCGUAAAGAGCUCGUAGGCGGCUUGUUGCGUCAGCUGUGAAAACCCGCAGCUCAACUGUGGGCUUGCAGCUGAUACGGGCAGGCUUGAGUUCGGUAGGGGAGACUGGAAUUCCUGGUGUAGUGGUGGAAUGCGUAGAUAUCGGGAGGAACACCAGUGGCGAAGGCGGUUGCCUGGAGCUUUGCUGACGCUGAGGCGCGAAAGCGUGGGGAGCGAUCCGG
rnacentral:rRNA from 1 species